GACGGCCCAGGUGGCGGAGCGGUUGUUCGGCUCAGGGGUUCACAUGUCGGUGGGGGCGCGUGUGGGUCCUCGAGAUCCAUGAUUGAGUACGUUCCGAGUGGUGACACGAUUCGGGUUCUGCCGACUUGAAGGACACGUGUCGGGACGCAGGGCCGGGGGCGGUUCCGUAAACGGGUGGCGGCCCGCAGCGGGAAGACGACGGCCGGUAGUUUCUCGAAACGCAUCUUAUGCUUGGAAGUUUCCAAAUCGGACCGCAAGAAAUCCCAAAUUGAGUUCGGUCCGGUACUUACUAUGGAAAAGAUAUUCUCGUUGGCCAAUUGGUCUCCGAAUUUUAGGUUGAAGGAGGGAAAUUGCAGCUCUCAGUCGCCAUGCUUACGCUCCAUUGCAAUCUAACGCAUUCGUUAAUGACAUAUGACAUUUUCGUCGAUCAAUAGGUCUCCGGAUUUUAGGUUUGAGUAGGGAAAUUGCAGCUCUCAGUCGUCAUCCUUACGCUUCAUCGGCUCAAUGGUUCAUCGGUUAUGGCCGGGAUGCAUCAUUGUCUCUGAAACCAAACCUGAGGGAUUUCAUGUGGAAGGCAUCAUUGUGAACCACAUGUAGCACAUUAAAAGAGCGCUCCCGACAACCCACCCCGUGAGGGUAGAAGAGAUAUCGUCAGAGAGGAUAUGAGUGGAGGCAAGAAGAGGUGCCCAAAGUUGAGGGACUCCACGCCAAAGAGAGUCCCUCCAUCCAUCACUGAGCCGCCCAUACCGUCGUUGACUUGGUGGUCUGUCAGUCCAUCAGGUUAUGACUUCCAUUCAAGAUGCCUUUUUUUUUUCUUUUAAAAUCAAACGUUCAUCCUUUUAUGAAUGAAAAAAAAAAAAGAAAUGUUAAAUUUUUUAUUUGAUCCAAUUAGAUGGAGAUUUGAGAACAACAAAAGAAGUGAGAUGAACAGUUUAAGAAUCUUCUAUAGCUUUCCUAUGAAGGGGGGUGCACAUAAUUUGCAGUUUUCUUCUCCUUGUGGUGGAAUCCAGAUUAAAAUAUACUGCCCUCUUCUGUUGGCAGCGUAUGUUGUCAUGGGCUCCACUAAAGAAUAAAGAACAAUCAAUCUAGUAAAGGGAAAAAAGAAAUCUAGUCCUAGCAUCGGUGGAGUUGAUGCUGGCUCGUGUUCGAGAGACAUGUGACCCACUUUUAUGUGAAAUGAGAAAGAAAAGGUGAAAUGGAUAUUUUAAAGGCCUGAACCUGAUGAGAAAUGAAUAUAAUGAUCAAAAUAGAGGAGUUGAAUGCAUUAAGCAAAAUAGAUUCCCUGUUAACCUUUGUGAGAUAAUUAGGCUUAAGGUUGGUCGUCUUGUCGGAUUCUGCAGCCCUUAUGAAACUUGUGGAUUUCUACGACUUGGAGGCAUCACAUGAAAACGGAUGUCAAAAGCAAUACUUAAAUAGGUAUUGGAUGUCAAGUUUCACUGCAUGUGAACAGGUCAUGUCCUAAGGAGCAGUUUUGUAGAACUUUGCGCGAGGGCGUGACAGAUCGAGCUAUGGAAAGCAAUUUGGUAUCCCCAUUUUAAUUCAAAAUUAUAAUGAAGAUGAUGAGAUGACCAUACUCUUGUAAAAGGUGACGAAUGUAUGUAAAAAGAUGGAUAAAAGACUAAAGAUAUCAAGAAAAUUAACUGUUUAGUACAUGAUAAUGGUGUGUAUCACAGAAACCUGGUCUCAACCUUAGUGUAAUGUUGUAGUUUAUGAUCACCUCAUUUGACACCUAUAAACAAAUCCAAUGUGUUUAUAUAAAAUACUGAUCUAAGUUAAUGCAGACACAGUGACUUGAUUAUGGGAAAUUGAUUGUUUUCUUUUGCUAAAUAAAUCAACUCUUUUGGAGAUUUUUUUUUUCUAGUAUAAUUUGUUUUUUCUUGAUGCAAUUUUUUUUUUCUUUGUUUCAAUUUCCUUACUAUAUCAGUACCAAUCAUGACCGACCACACAUUAACCAGUCAUGAAAUAUAGAAAUAUCAAACCCACGCAUGAUAGAGGGCAACAUCCAGCUGAACAGAUAAUAGAAGCUCACCACAAACAAUUCUUGGAUGCUGACAGAAAAGGUUGUAUUUCCACAUAUUCUAGCAAAAUGAAUCCUUUAGUUCAGAUGACAUCCAUGAAAAAUGAGAAAGGUUUUAUAUGAUGACCUCAUAAUCUUAAUUGAGAAAUAGUAGCACAAAUUCGGAAUCAAAAAAACAAAAUUUGAUGCUGAAAGAAAUUUCAUAAUUUAACUACAUGACUAUAGCUCCAAACCAUAUGAUUCAAGCCUAAAUGACUUGUAUCAUAAGGAUCAUGAAACAAGAAGCCAAACCUUGACAUGAACACCAAUGUUAACCAACACCGGAUUUAAGCAUAGAAAAGUUCUACAAAAGUUCUACAUGCAUCAGAAUCAAACAGACAAAUUUAUUCAUUCAAGUUAUAGCAUAUAAAAUACAAGCUGAUUAUUAAGGUGUUUUCUUACAGAUCGGAUGUAUUUACUCAAAGAAAAAUGUUUGACUGUACACAAAUUAUGCCUGGUAUUCAGCCUAUAAUAUAUGGCGACAAAUUUUCUGCAUGUUACAGGUAAAAAAAAAAAUGGAAAUAAGUGUACUGUAGUCAUACAUUAUUUACGGUCUCACACUGUUGGAUGGUAUCCAGGAUUUAGGGUCACUUGUGUCAGUUGGAGGUUUCUCCUCGCACCCCACUCUUGACAGCAUUCUAGUGCGAGCCGAAAG
rnacentral:lncRNA from 1 species